rnacentral:tRNA from 1 species
GGCAAGAUGGCCAAGUGGUCCAAGGUGCUGUGUUUAGGCCGCAGUCUCUCCAGAGGCAUGGGUUUGAACCCCACUCUUGUCA